CUUCCGCGGGCUGCCCCUGAGCGACGUGGCUGCUGCUAGCCGCUGCCCAAUUACCCGGAUGGAAUCCAAAGCAGGCCCACCCUGUCAGCCAAUAAGAUCCAGGAAAAGCAGAUGUUGUUAACUGAGACCGCACCUGCUGAGAAUUAAACAGCCAAUUACAAGCUUCCCGGCGUCCUCGCAGACCACCUCUAGGCCAAUUACCGAGGAGUUUUCUAUCUUCUAACCCUUGGGGGAAAAUCUGCGCUGCAGCAGAUCGGUCCGGCCCCGCAUAUGGCGAUGAGGACUCAAGAGACACGGAAAAUGUUUUCUUUCUGGAAAACAUGAAAUAGGCUUUGUAGAUGGACAGGAAGUCAAGGGACAAGCGGUGCGCCGCAGAGAGCGAGGACCCACUCUUCUAUUCCUUUGCGGAGGCACGGACACACGGUGUGGCCCGAAACAGCGGCAGGAGAGUGAGACCCGGGCUCCGACCGCGGUGGUAAGGGGGCGGCGGGCCGUAGGGGCGCCAGGGGCCCACCCUUCCCUGGGGAUUCGAAGAAACGGGUCGAGGCGACAGCGUGAAGGCCUACGCCGGGGGAGGGGGUGGUGGCGGGGGGCGUUUCUGUGGGGGUGAGGAAGGGAGCGGGUCUCCGCAGGCGGAAGUUUGGAAGAUUUUAUUCCAGACGCUGUCCUGGUCCCUGGACCGUUAGGAACGGUUGGGUCCUGCUACCGCCUCCGUGGGGCGGGGAGCCUCGCGAGACCAGCGCUGCGCCCUACUCGGUCCACCCUGUCCCCGCUCCGCGCUAGGGGCUCACCCUGGGGACAGGGGUCGGGCGAUCCUGGUCAUUGGGGGAUCUUCCGCACUAGCUUCCAUCACAAUACCUGGCAGGUGAUGAGCAAUAAAUAUUUGCUGAAAGAA